rnacentral:rRNA from 1 species
GUAGGUGGCAAGCGUUGUCCGGAAUUAUUGGGCGUAAAGCGCGCGCAGGCGGUCCUUUAGGUCUGAUGUGAAAGCCCACGGCUCAACCGUGGAGGGUCAUUGGAAACUGGGGGACUUGAGUACAGAAGAGGAAAGCGGAAUUCCAAGUGUAGCGGUGAAAUGCGUAGAGAUUUGGAGGAACACCAGUGGCGAAGGCGGCUUUCUGGUCUGUAACUGACGCUGAGGCGCGAAAGCGUGGGGAGCAAACAGGAUUAGAUACCCUGGUAGUCCACGCCGUAAACGAUGAGUGCUAAGUGUUAGGGGGUUUCCCGCCCCCCUUAGCGCUGCAGCUAACGCAUUAAGCACUCCGCCUGGGGGAGUACGGCCGCAAGGCUG